UUGCUUUGGCAGCACAUAUACUAAAAUUGGAAUGAUACAGAGAAAAUUAGCAUGGCCCCUGGGCAAGAAUGACAGUCAAAUUAGUUUUCCCAGCACCAUUUGU